rnacentral:tmRNA from 1 species
GGGGAUGUCAAGGCUUCGACAUGAUUAAGCGAGUCUUAAAUGCAGUGGGGUAAGCCCCUUAUAGCUCUAGGUAUUUAAUAAAUGCUAACAAAUCAAAUGAUAACGUUGAACUUUCAGCUUUUGAAAUAAACGCUAUCCAAAACCAACAAUUAAAUUUCGCAUAUACUGCUUAAUAUACAUUUUUGAAAAUUUUAUAAAUCUUCUAUAAAUUUAUAAUCUUAAAACAUAGAUAGCUUUAUUUUUCCUUUCUAGAAAUAAAGUGAAAAUUCUAUAGAAAGAAAUCACCUUAUAUAAUUGUUUCAUUGUAUAUAUUGUGAAAAACUAAUGAAACUAAACUGUAGACUUUAUUAUAAGUUUAAUUAUGGAAAUGGGUUCAAUUCCCAUCAUCUCCACCA